AGUGAACGCUGGCGGUAGGCCUAACACAUGCAAGUCGAACGGCAGCACAGUAAGAGCUUGCACUUACGGGUGGCGAGUGGCGGACGGGUGAGGAAUACAUCGGAAUCUACUUUUUCGUGGGGGAUAACGUAGGGAAACUUACGCUAAUACCGCAUACGACCUACGGGUGAAAGCAGGGGAUCUUCGGACCUUGCGCGAUUGAAUGAGCCGAUGUCGGAUUAGCUAGUUGGCGGGGUAAAGGCCCACCAAGGCGACGAUCCGUAGCUGGUCUGAGAGGAUGAUCAGCCACACUGGAACUGAGACACGGUCCAGACUCCUAAGGGAGGCAGCAGUGGGGAAUAUUGGACAAAGGGCGCAAGCCUGAUCCAGCCAUACCGCGUGGGUGAAGAAGGCCUUCGGGUUGUAAAGCCCUUUUGUUGGGAAAGAAAAGCAGCAGGUUAAUACCCCGCUGUUCUGACGGUACCCAAAGAAUAAGCACCGGCUAACUUCGUG
rnacentral:rRNA from 1 species